rnacentral:rRNA from 1 species
AUCCGGAAUCAUUGGGCGUAAAGGGUCCGCAGGUGGCCAAUCAAGUCGGCUGUUAAAGACCGGGGCUUAACUCCGGGCAGGCAGUGGAAACUGAUUAGCUAGAGUACGGUAGGGGUAGAGGGAAUUCCCAGUGUAGCGGUGAAAUGCGUAGAUAUUGGGAAGAACACCGGUGGCGAAAGCGCUCUACUAGGCCGAAACUGACACUGAGGGACGAAAGCUAGGGUAGCGAAAGGGAUUAGAUACCCCUGUAGUCUUAGCUGUAAACGAUGGAUACUAGGUGUAGCUCGUAUCGACCCCAGCUGUGCCAAAGUUAACGCGAUAAGUAUCCCGCCUGGGGAGUACGCACGCAAGUGUGAAACUCAAAGGAAUUGACGGGGGCCCGCACAAGCGGUGGAGUAUGUGGUUUAAUUCGAUGCAACGCGAAGAACCUUACCAGGGCUUGACAUGUCGCGAAUCUAGCGGAAACGUUAGAGUGCCUUAGGGAAUGCGAACACAGGUGGUGCAUGGCUGUCGUCAGCUCGUGUCGUGAGAUGUUGGGUUAAGUCCCGCAACGAGCGCAACCCUCGUCCUUAGUUGCCAAUAUUAAGUUAGGCACUCUAGGGAUACUGCCGGGGACAACUCGGAGGAAGGUGGGGAUGACGUCAAGUCAGCAUGCCCCUUACGUCCUGGGCGACACACGUACUACAAUGGUUGGGACAAAGGGCAGCAAGCUCGCGAGAGUAAGCGAAUCUCAUCAAACCCAGCCACAGUUCAGAUUGCAGGCUGCAACUCGCCUGCAUGAAGUAGGAAUCGCUAGUAAUCGCAGGUCAGCAUACUGCGGUGAAUUCGUUCCCGGGCCUUGUACACACCGCCCGUCACACCAUGGAAGCUGGCUACGCCCGAAGUCGUUACCCUAACCCUAAGGGGAGGGGGAUGCCGAAGGUAGAGCUAGUGACUGGGGUGAAGUCGUAACAAGGUAGCCGUACCUGAAGGUGUGGCUGGAUCACCUCCUUU